UCCACGGCCCCCACCAUGGCCUCCACCACAGCCCCGAAAGUCUACCCUCUGGCAUCCAGCUGCGGGGACACGUCCAGCUCCACCGUGACCCUGGGCUGCCUGGUCUCCAGCUACAUGCCCGAGCCGGUGACCGUGACCUGGAACUCGGGUGCCCUGAAGAACGGCGUGCACACCUUCCCGGCCGUCCGGCAGUCCUCCGGGCUCUACUCUCUCAGCAGCAUGGUGACCAUGCCCACCAGCACUGCAGGAACCCAGACCUUCACCUGCAACGUAGCCCACCCGGCCAGCAGCACCAAGGUGGACACGGCUGUCACUGCAAGGCAUCCGGUCCCGAAGACACCAGAGACACCUAUCCAUCCUGUAAAACCCCCAACCCAGGAGCCCAGAGAUGAAAAGACACCCUGCCAGUGUCCCAAAUGCCCAGAACCUCUGGGAGGACUGUCUGUCUUCAUCUUCCCACCGAAACCCAAGGACACCCUCACAAUCUCUGGAACGCCCGAGGUCACGUGUGUGGUGGUGGACGUGGGCCAGGAUGACCCCGAAGUGCAGUUCUCCUGGUUCGUGGAUGACGUGGAGGUGCACACAGCCAGGAUGAAGCCAAGAGAGGAGCAGUUCAACAGCACCUACCGCGUGGUCAGCGCCCUGCCCAUCCAGCACCAGGACUGGCUGCGGGAAAAGGAGUUCAAGUGCAAGGUCAACAACAAAGGCCUCCCGGCCCCCAUCGUGAGGACCAUCUCCAGGACCAAAGGGCAGGCCCGGGAGCCACAGGUGUAUGUCCUGGCCCCACCCCGGGAAGAGCUCAGCAAAAGCACGCUCAGCCUCACCUGCCUAAUCACCGGCUUCUACCCAGAAGAGGUAGACGUGGAGUGGCAGAGAAAUGGGCAGCCUGAGUCAGAGGACAAGUACCACACGACCCCACCCCAGCUGGACGCUGACGGGUCCUACUUCCUGUACAGCAGGCUCAGGGUGAACAGGAGCAGCUGGCAGGAAGGAGACCACUACACGUGUGCAGUGAUGCAUGAAGCUUUACGGAAUCACUACAAAGAGAAGCCCAUCUCGAGGUCUCCGGACCUGCUGCUGGAGGAGGAGAUCUGUGUGGACGACCUGGAUGGGGAGCUGGACGGGCUCUGGAUGACUAUCUCCAUCUUCAUCACACUCUUCCUGCUCAGCGUCUGCUACAGCGCCACUGUGACCCUCUUCAAGGUGAAAUGGAUCUUCUCCUCGGCAGUGGAGCUGAAGAGGACGAUCGUCCCCGACUACAGAAACAUGAUCGGGCAGGGCGCCUAGAGCUCCUGUGGGUGGAGUCCAGGGUCACCCCAGACCCAACUGGACCACGUCCAUCAUCUUGUGCUGCUCAGCCUGUGCCAGGCCUGCUCCUUCGCGCUCUGACCUAGCCAACCUCUAACCUCUCACCCAGACUCACCCACAUCUGCACUCUGACCUUGUGGCCAUGGCAACCUGCCCCACCCCCCAAGACCCGAGUGGAAAACAGGUGGUGACCCCACUGAGCUGAUGGACGCUGAGGGCCUCUGGGAAGCCUGUAAGACACCAAUGGGCUGCAAGUCCCCGACCAGGAACACACAGGUCAGAGUUCAGUUCUGCCUGGAGGAGUAGGAGGCUGGGUCCAGGGCUGUCUGCACAGGGCACCCGCAUCUUGUCCAGGCCUGAUUCAGAUCACAGGUCCCUGGGGGAGGCCCCUGUGUCAGAUCCUUGGGAACAGCUGUCCUGCAGGGGCCCAGCCUCCCAGCAGGGAAGCUCAUGGGAGGACCACUAGCGGUUACUCAGGUCGACUCCACCGAGGACGCUGCUGUGAGCAGGGCCUGGGCCCACGGCUGCUGCAGGAGCCCUGGUGGGGGAAGGGGUGACAUCCAGCCAGAAGGACUGCCUGGAGAGGGGCCUGCUGACCGGUUCCCAGUGGACAGAGCUGGAGAGGCUCCCAGAAUACAGGACGUCAGGGCAGCCAGUCCAUCCGGUGGCCAACAGCCUGACAUGUCCUGCAGGAGCUCGGCCUGCACCAAGGGCAGGGGUGAGAGGCGAGACCAGAGACCCACAGAGGCCCAGCCCCGGCGCCGGGGCCCCGCCUCGCCUCCCGGUACAGACUCUCCUGUCGUUGCAAAAAUGUGCAUGGGCAUCUCUGGAUGGGAGGCGCUGCCCCUAGGACUGGAAGGAAGGACCACAGUCUUGGAGCUUGGGAAGCUUCUUUUGUAUAAUGUGGGGGCCUGAUCAUUCUCUUUGCUGUCUCUUUAUCUCUUUAAUGACAAUAAAGCAUCUUUACUUCA